UGACACCACAAAUGAUGUGACUGCAAAGACUUGGUGAGUGUGUAGAAAAGAAGAAACUGAAAACAGAUGAUUUUAAUGUGAAUGGACUGAACAGUUUUGUGUGAGUUAUAUUGUAGUUAUGAAAUACAUGUGUUGGUUCGCAUUGAGUUUGCUUAAAUGUCUUUUCGAGAUCUGAAAAUGCUUCUAUUAUGGCUAUUAAUGCAAAAUAACAUUCAGACUCACAUUAGACCAUUACACUGGGCACAUUCAUUAACUGAGGUCAUUGAUGUCAUAUUUUGUAUGUUGUUCCUGCUGCAACGCCGCAGAAAAUAAAGGCAUUCCUAGUAUGGUAAAUGGACUGCAUUUAUAUAGCGCUUUCAACAGACCCAUGGCCAUCCAAAGCUCUUUACAAGUUCCCUCACAUUCAUACACCGACCGUGGUGUCAGCCAUGCAAGGCACCAUCCAGCUCGUCAGGAGCAGCUGGGGUUAGGAGUCUUGCUCAAGGACAUUUUGGUGGAGCCGGGGAUUGAACCACCAACCUUCAAGUUUGUAGACUUUUAGUCACAUGUCGCACAUCGGGUGGUUAGGACAAAAACAACAUGGAAAGGAUACUUUUUAUUGCAUCGUGCCAAAAAAAAAAAAAAAAAAUCUAAGUAUAAAAAUAUUAAUACUGUCCAAUCUAAUUAUUGAAUUUCCCAUUAGGGAAAGUGGAGAGAAAAGAUCCAGUCUAGAGAUGAGCAGGUGUUGGAACCUGUGGAAGCCUUUUUUUGCCACUGAAUAAUAAAAAAAGCCCAGGAACGGUGGAUGCAGCGGUUGCUGUGGGAGAAAGCUGCAGCUGGUCAGGAUGGUCAUGUUGACCAGUCAAAAGCUGCCUGUAACCCACUGAUGCCCUAAAUCCUUGCAUGGAUGUUGAGAGAGAUGCUGGGAAGCAUGCAGGAAUCUCUUGGGAUUUCCUACACGUUUAGUGACUCCACCCUGACAUACACGAACAGACUUUAUGGUCUUACAAUUAAACCGACGGCUGGCAGUAUAACGAACUAUGAACGAUCUCCUUCAAGCAUUGCUGGAUUACUCAAGCGCUUCUUUGGAAGAUAUAAGAAGAAAGCUCAGCAUCGAGAUGACCCUAACACUGGACUCCUAAGAAGCACAUUUCUGUCUCUGCUUGCAACGGCGAUGAUGGUCCAAGCAUCAAGAAAUGGACAGCAGCAGAAGAAGGCUCCCAUUCACACAUUCAUUUCAAUAAAGUUAAUUAUCUGUUGCCUAAUUGCCCCAAGGGCCCUUCGGACAUUACCAUGUGUCCUGGGAAAAAGCGGGCUUCACAUAAAUCUUUUAAAACAACCACCCCCAAAACAAGUUUGCCUGUCCGCCAUGGAGCGGCUGAAUGCUGAAAAGAGGCAUUUAGGCAGGUCCCUGUGGGAGCCGCACACAAUGAUGCCUUUAGCAUGCUGGGAGACUCAAAGCGCAGUGUUUGUGGUAAUCAGCUCCCCCACCCUGAGCCCUUUUCAGCUCCAAACCCUCGGCCCUGACUAAGCAAUAUCACUAUACACCUGGGCAAAGAGAAGGGGGGAGAGGGGUGCAUGCAAACAGAGGGACACUGGUCACUUGUUCUGCGAGCAUUGGUUCAGGUGUUCAGGACACAGGGCACCUGCAGGAUUCAGGUUUACUGUGCGUACUGUCCUGAUGUUGUUUUAGCCGCUUCUGUUACAGCUUCACACAUGAUUUAACCUCAUGAUGCAGGUUCUUGACAGAGGAUUUUUAUAAGGGAUUUUUACUGAAUAAAGCAAAAGCCAUUAAUGUUCAUGUGAGUGAUUCAGGGUUCUCACACCUCUCCUGGUACAUUUCCAUGAAUCAUAAAAUUAUUGUUAAGUUUUAUUGGAGGUUAUUACUAUAGUGAGUGUGUUAUUUGUAGCUACUGGGAGCCUUGGGGCCACAAGAGGGUGCAAUGGGCUCCAUGUGAUUGUU